GUUGAUCCUGCGGGAGGUUGCUGCUAUGAGGGUUCGACUAAGCCAUGCAAGUCUGAUAGCAAUAUCGGCAGAACGCUCAGUAACACGUCGUUAGCCUUACCUAUGGUCAUCGAUAACCUCGGGAAACUGAGGGUAAACGAUGAUAAAAGAAUCUUUCUGGAAUGAUGUUUCUUUGAAACUCGUGCCAUAGGAUGGGGCGGCGGUCGAUUAGGUAGUUGGUGGUGUAAUGGACCACCAAGCCUACGAUCGAUACGGGCCUUGAGAGAGGUAGCCCGGAGAGGGACACUGAGAAACUGGUCCCAGCCCUACGGGGUGCAGCAGGCGCGAAACCUUUACAAUGCACACAAGUGUGAUAAGGGAACCCUCAGUGCUCAUGUAUAACAUGGGCUUUUGCCAAGCGUAAAUAGUUUGGCGAAUAAGUGGUGGGUAAGACUGGUGCCAGCCGCCGCGGUAACACCAGCGCCACGAGUGGCAACCACGUUUAUUGGGCCUAAAGCGUCCGUAGUCGGUUUGGUAAAUCUCUUGUGAAAUCGUCGGGCUUAACCCGACGGCAUGCUCGAGACACUGCCUUACUUGAGACCGGGAGGAGUGAGAGGUAUUCCUGAGGGAGCGGUAAAAUGUGAUAAUCUCAGGAGGAUCACCUAUGGCGAAGGCAUCUCACCAGAACGGAUCUGACGAUCAGGGACGAAGGCUAGGGGAGCGAUCCGGAUUAGAUACCCGAGUAGUCCUAGCAGUAAACGCUGCGAGCAAGAUGUUGCACUUCUUAAGAGGAUGUGCAGUGUCGAAGAGAAGUCAUUAAGCUCGCCGCCUGGGAAGUACGGUCGCAAGACUGAAACUUUAAGGAAUUGGCGGGGGAGCACCACCAGGGGUGCGGCGUGCGUUUAAUCUAACUCCACACAGAGAACCUUACUAGAAGCGACGGCAGAAAGAAGAUCAUGCUGAAGACAUUAUCUGACGAGCCGAGAGGUAGUGCAUGGCCGCCGUCAGCUCGUGCCGUAAGGUGUCCAGUUAAGUCUGGCAACGAGCGAGACCUAUACUUACUAUUGCUAGCAGCUACUUCGGUAGGACUGAGCACUUUGUGAGGACUGCCUUGGAAACAAGGAGGAAGGUGUAGGCAACGGUGGUCUGUAUGCUCCGAAUCUUCUAGGCUACACGCGCGCAACAAUGGUAAUGACAAUGGGCUGCAACUCCGAAAGGAGAAGCUAAUCCUCCAAACAUUACCUCAGUUCGGAUCGCGGGUUGUAACUCACCCGCGUGACGCCGGAAUCCCUAGUAACCAGAGUUCAUCAAAUUCUGGUGAAUAUGUCCCUGCUCCUUGCACACACCGCCCGUCAAAUCAACCGAGCAGGACUUUGGUAAAAUCCAUUUUCUUGAAUAGAUUGAACCUAAGUUCAGUGAGGCGGAUUAAGUCGUCACAAGGUA
rnacentral:rRNA from 1 species